GCCCCUUUGGCUUAGGGGUAGGGCGUCGCACGUUCGUAAAACCUAGUGACAAUUGACGUGACUUUUAUACUAACAUACGAUAGUCGUAAUGCGAAGAUCACAGGUUCGAAUCCUGUAGGGGGCA
rnacentral:tRNA from 1 species